UGCAAGUCGAGCGGUAGAGAGAAGCUUGCUUCUCUUGAGAGCGGCGGACGGGUGAGUAAUGCCUAGGAAUCUGCCUGGUAGUGGGGGAUAACGUUCGGAAACGGACGCUAAUACCGCAUACGUCCUACGGGAGAAAGCAGGGGACCUUCGGGCCUUGCGCUAUCAGAUGAGCCUAGGUCGGAUUAGCUAGUUGGUGAGGUAAUGGCUCACCAAGGCGACGAUCCGUAACUGGUCUGAGAGGAUGAUCAGUCACACUGGAACUGAGACACGGUCCAGACUCCUACGGGAGGCAGCAGUGGGGAAUAUUGGACAAUGGGCGAAAGCCUGAUCCAGCCAUGCCGCGUGUGUGAAGAAGGUCUUCGGAUUGUAAAGCACUUUAAGUUGGGAGGAAGGGCAGUUGCCUAAUACGUAACUGUUUUGACGUUACCGACAGAAUAAGCACCGGCUAACUCUGUGCCAGCAGCCGCGGUAAUACAGAGGGUGCAAGCGUUAAUCGGAAUUACUGGGCGUAAAGCGCGCGUAGGUGGUUUGUUAAGUUGGAUGUGAAAUCCCCGGGCUCAACCUGGGAACUGCAUUCAAAACUGACCGACUAGAGUAUGGUAGAGGGUGGUGGAAUUUCCUGUGUAGCGGUGAAAUGCGUAGAUAUAGGAAGGAACACCAGUGGCGAAGGCGACCACCUGGACUAAUACUGACACUGAGGUGCGAAAGCGUGGGGAGCAAACAGGAUUAGAUACCCUGGUAGUCCACGCCGUAAACGAUGUCAACUAGCCGUUGGAAGCCUUGAGCUUUUAGUGGCGCAGCUAACGCA
rnacentral:rRNA from 1 species